GCUGGGUGUGGUGGCGCACGCCUGUAGUCUCAGCUACUCGGGAAGCUGAGGCAGGAGAAUCGCUUGAACCUGGGAGGUGGAGGUUGCAGUGAGCCAAGAUUGUGCCACUGCACUCCACCCUGGUGACAGACCGAGACUCUGCCUCUC
ensembl:misc_RNA Metazoa_SRP Metazoan signal recognition particle RNA